rnacentral:rRNA from 1 species
UACGGGGGGAGCAAGCGUUGUUCGGAUUUACUGGGCGUAAAGGGCGCGUAGGCGGUCAGCACAAGUCAGUUGUGAAAUCUCCGGGCUUAACUCGGAAAGGUCAACUGAUACUGUGCGACUAGAGUGCAGAAGGGGCAACUGGAAUUCUCGGUGUAGCGGUGAAAUGCGUAGAUAUCGAGAGGAACACCUGCGGCGAAGGCGGGUUGCUGGGCCGACACUGACGCUGAGGCGCGAAAGCUAGGGGAGCGAACGGG